rnacentral:tRNA from 1 species
GGGGAUGUAGCUCAGUUGUAAAGCACUUGCCUAGCAUGCAUGAGGCCCUGAGUUCAAUCCCCAGCACUGCAA